rnacentral:rRNA from 1 species
GGGCCCGCACAAGCGGUGGAGCAUGUGGUUCAAUUCGAUGCAGAGCGAAGAACCUUACCUGGGCUUGACAUGCAGGAAGUAGAAACCGGAAACGGGGACGACCUGUUGAGUCAGGAGCCUGCACAGGUGGUGCAUGGCUGUCGUCAGCUCGUGCCGUGAGGUGUUGGGUUAAGUCCCGCAACGAGCGCAACCCUCACCCUAUGUUGCCAUCGGGUAAUGCCGGGCACUCUUGGGGAACUGCCGGCGAAGAGCUGGAGGAAGGGGGGGAUGACGUCAAGUCCGUAUGCCCCUUAUGUCCAGGGCUACACACAUGCUACAAUGGCCGAUACAGAGGGUUCCCAACCCGCAAGGGGGAGGCAAUCCCACAAAGUCGGUCUCAGUUCGGAUUGCAGGCUGCAACUCGCCUGCAUGAAGUCGGAAUCGCUAGUAAGCGCAGAUCAGCAGGCUGCGCUGAAUACGUUCCCGGGCCUU